rnacentral:rRNA from 1 species
UACGAGGGGGGCAAGCGUUGUUCGAAAUUAUUGGGCGUAAAGGGCGCGUAGGCGGUUUGACAAGUCUGAUGUGAAAUCUCUGGGCUCAACCCAGAGUCUGCAUUAGAAACUGUCGGGCUUGAGUAUGGGAGAGGUGAGUGGAAUUUCCGGUGUAGCGGUGAAAUGCGUAGAUAUCGGAAGGAACACCUGUGGCGAAAGCGGCUCACUGGACCAUAACUGACGCUGAGGCGCGAAAGCUAGGGGAGCAAACAGG